GAGAGAGAGAAAGAGAGAGAGAGAGAGAGAGAGAGAUGGAGUAGAAACGAAGAGGGGAGAAGGAAGGAGACUACUGCCGAGGUCGCUCGGAAAGGUCCGAACGAGCAUCACCACUGCCGCCUACACACGUAAAUGAAGAUACCUAGGUAUUCCCUCUGUGUGUUUACACGCAACCUCGCACCAGUCCAACUCCUCGAGAUAAUUGUGUCGCUAAGAACGAUCGAUCUCAACAUCAUCAAUAAAUAAAAAUGUAUUUCCAUUGUUGUCCCAUCAAUCAUCUCGCAUCGAUUACUAUCUUGUCUAUCUACUAUAUACUCAUAUACUCUCUCGAACAAAUCCUCACUGUUCGUCUGUCUAUCUGUGUUCGUUCGUUCAAUCGAACAUUAGAAGAUGUGAGGAAAAUUGAGAAAUUCGUUUUAUAGUUAAGAACAUCUAUAAAUUUGAGAAUAGUGAGUGAUCAUGCAUUACUUUAUCCAGAUAAUUGACCAGGAAGUUAACCGAUAAUAGUUCGAAUUUUUUAAAAAUUGCAAUCGGCGCAGAUCAACAUUUCCUUGAGGAUUUAUUUCUAAGAAGCCAUUUGUUAUCAUUUAUACGUGUAUACACGUGUAGAGGUUAUAAAUUCAAGAUUUCGUCUCAAGGGAUAUUCAUUUUCUUCGCAUCAAGGGCGUGGUAAGGGGAACGAGCGAAGAGCAUAAAGAUGAAGAGGAUCGUCGUAAACGUCGCGUUCUUCCCUCGCCCUCCUCGUCUCUCUUCAUCCACCACUCUUUACCCCCUCAGUCGCCCUCUGGCACCAUCGUAAAGACUUCUAUCUUGGUUGGUCUCCGCGUCGUAAUAUCUUGUAACAUCAGCUUCUUCUAUGCAGAUAUACAACACAACGAGUGUAAGAGCCAUCAUCGACAUCAUGAUUUUAUUACCAACACUUCCUGUAUCCGUCAUGAUAAUUUUGCGGCCAUCAGAAAAAGAAGAUACAACGAAGAGGAUUAUCAAGACUGAAAUUUGAUCCACGUUGAACAUAAUAAUAAUAAGAAGAAGAAGAAGAAAAAAUAAAAAAAAAUAUUCUUGAUCGUGAUGACUACUUGGCUACCAGUUUGAAGUAGCGAAAGAAAAAGAAAAGAAAAAGAAAAAAAGACAAAGAGAAAAAAGAAGAAAAAAAAAUCGUACAAAAGUACUUUACCGAGGUGAUCGUUAUCAUCUCGUUACUUCCUUAACGUAUAUCGUUUUAACCCUUUUUCGAAAUGUCACAACGACGAUGUUACGACUUUUUAGAAGAUACGUAGAUUGUAAGAAAAGUAAGUACAAACGACGUUUCUCCUAUUCGCUCGCAUUCGUAUUCAUUGGAUACUGGUAACUAUAAUGGUAUGAGCACGCCUUGCCACGAAUACACGCGUUCUGGAUUUUCAACAAACAGGUGCGUGGACACUUCGGGAGGAUAUAAAUCCAGAUGGAAACAUGUUCCAAGGUGGAAAGGUUGUCCUUUGGCGCGAUGAGUGUACCAAGAUAGGCCAAAGAAACAUGUCCGACGUAAUCUCUGACAAACACCUGUGUAAACACCAAAAACUCGAUGUUAUUUUUUCAAGAGAUGUUUAGAAUGAAUGCAAUAACGUGGGCCAUGCACGACCUACGAGGCCUGAACGAAAACCCACGUGAAAGUACCCGGUCAUUCAAUGUGUUAAUACUCAAAACAUGUUAAUCAUUCCACGAGGAGAAAGAAUUAUUAUACGUUAGGUGGUCGAUCACCUCGAAGUGUCGAGAAAUCGUUUAACCGGCAUGGUUUAUUACUUCGAGAGAACGUAAAUCUUCGUUUAACAAUGAGAGAAAUGACUGCUAUGAAAUGAAGCCGCGCGUAUUAUGUUUACCUCUCGUUGAUCUUUUAUUGGUCUUCGAAUGGACUUCUUUCAAUGAGUUUUGUUUAAAUAAUUUUAUGAAGAUAUGAUUUAUAAUGAUUUUUGACGUUUCUAUUAGACGAAUGAAAUCGUUUCGUUGUUUCAUUUGUAGAAACAAUUUGUAGAAACAAUUUAGAAGAAAAAGAGAGAGAGAGAGAGAGAGAGAGAGAGAGAGAGAAAAGAAAGAAAAAGAAUUGAUCAUUCAAUAGAGAAAGUAAACUAAAUGUGAUUAGAAAAAAAAAGAAAUGUAAUAAGAAAAGAAUUUGCGACGUUUUAAUAUUAAUUUAUUAUUAAUAUUCUUUUAUUAUUAAUAUUAAUAUUCUGUUCUCUUCGUUUCUUUGAACGUUAACAAAUAAAGGAAGUAAUAAAAAUUAUUAUUUUGCAUUUGUAUUUUCAUAGAUCGCAAAACUUUUUUGAAUAUCAUCGAUAAAUCAGAUUAGAAUCGGUUGUUUAUACAAUUUUGUCGAAUGUGUUUUUUUUUUUGUCGAUUCUUCUUCGUAAACUCGUGUGUGGUGUUACCUUUCGAUUCGGCGACAACGUUCACGCGAUUAUUAAUUAUCUUUGUUUCGCUAUAUAGAUCAUGAUUUAUCGCUAAAUAAUUUUUCUUUUACAUCGGUGAUAAUAGUAAUCCAUCCGAAUGAAAUCGUUAUCUAUCACAUGAGCGAUGAAUUACAAGAAAAAUGUCAACAGAAAGAGAGAAAGAAAAAGAAAAAAAAAAGAAAAAAAAAAAAGAAAAAUUUAAUGGCCGAAGAUAUUUAAAUAAAUAGAAAAUUUAUAUCAGUGCAUUAUCUCAGUGCAUUAUCUCUUCCCAGUCGUACAUAUCCAUGUACGCAUAUAUACAUACAUAUAUAUAUAUAUAUAUACAAACAUAUAUAUAUAUAUAUUCUUACUUAUCUCUCCUUUGUAAAAGCAACACCGUUAGAAAAUAUAAAAAGAUGUCUCGUUAUCUCGAGGAUGGGCUAAUAAAAAGAAUAUAGAGUGAGGCGUGGAGAAGAGAUGACUAUGUUACAUCUUAGCGCGGUACAAUAAGCUGACAGCGGCUCACGAAACUCAAAGGGACUCACCGACCAUUUUGCCCUUUACGAGCUAAUCGACCUAUCUGACUUAUUCGACAUAGCUGUUUCGGGCGACGAUACAAGCGGCUUUUUAUUUUAUCAUCAAAGAGCUUUCUUCUUUUGGGUGUACGGCAGGGGGGAAAAUGGCGACGAUGAGGUGGACAUUAUCGUUGGAACUAAGUGAAUAGCUUACAUACUAUAUGAAUCACAUUAGACCAUCAGAUUUAUCUAAUUAUAAAAUAUAAUUAUUUUUGGUUAGGGUCAAUCAAUGUUCCUUUGUCACGUUUUACUUCGAUUAGCAAUAUUUCGAAUAAAAUCAGCAGGUUUAUCAAAUAAAUAUAUUAUUUACUAAUUGGUUAUAAAAAUUUCUUUUUUUUUUUUCUUUUCUUUUUUAAGGAUUAACAUGCGUAUAAAAGAUAUGUAUGGUUUAGCAGAUAGAAAUAAUUUAUUCAACACUUGUCAGUGUCGAGACUUUUUAUUUUUGAUUUAUAAAAAGUUAUAAAAAAGAUAUCAGAAAAUAUAAGGAUGAUCAGAUGUUGCGUUCGUUAUUUUUAUAUUUCUUUUUUCUCUUCUUCUUCUUCUUCUUUUUUUUCUAUUCAACUUUUCUUUUGUAAUAGAUCAAAGCGGUAAAUCGACAAAAGCCGUUUGACACUGAGAUGCCGACGACGGCGUCAUGGCGGUCAAGAACACCGCUACUUUUUCUUUUCUUAUCUUUUCUUUCAUCCGAUCGAGCGCAGCCACGUGGUGUGCGUUUCUUUCUCUUUUCUCUUUUUGUUAAAACGAACGAUUAAACUUUACGACACCCAUUACAAGUCCAUUUCGUCGAGUGUCAUGACGCGUUUAAGGGUAUUGUAAUCUCUUUGUUCAAGUAUAAUAUUAUAAAGUGAUAGUUACAAUAAGAAUAAAAGAUAUUGAUAUUAGUCGUAAUGUUGCACGAGGUUCAGAAAUUUAGUUUAUACUAAAAUAAGAUACCUAACGUUCUGAAUGAAACGAUAAAUUUUCUUUUACCAGAGAACAUUUUAGGUUUUAUGGGGAAUCAAAGCUGAUGCAUGAUCGUAAACAAUUUCCCGUUUAUUUAUUGAUCGUUGAAACCUCAGGGAAGAAAGUGCAUAGAUGCGUAUUUCGUAACAGUUUAGUGAAACCAAUGAUGAUCUUGGCGCAAAAAAAAAAAGAGAAAAUAAAGAAAAAUAAAAACAUUUUAUUUAAAACAAUUUUAAAGAGCACAAAUGUUCCUUCCAUGGGAGACUCCGAUUGAUUUUACUUUUAUAUUUCGACAUUUUAAUUUUACGAGGGAAUUUCCGAGGGAUUUAUUUCUAUUUCAGACGUAAUUCAUAGCCACGCAAUAUCAUUAAAGAACCUAAAUUGGAUCUAAACGAUGCAAUUGUUAUUUUCUCACGGUCUAUAAAUAUAGGUAUACGAUCUUCUCGCAUAAACGUGUGGGAUAAAAAAAAAAAAAAAAGAAAAAAAAAAGAUUUUUCCCCAUAAAAAUAGAUCUUCAUACAAAUUUCGUAAAUGAUAUUUUGGAAAAAAGAAAAUAGAAAAUAAAAACGAUAUCGCGUAGAAUCGCAAAAGAAAAUAGCUGGAACACGUAGAAAGCGCAAACAUUCAUUGUACUCGAAAUCCAGAUAGAAGUAAAAACCAAUAAACGUGGACUCGAAUUGUCGAGACAAAGGAUCGUAAAAUUUAAUUACCCAUUGAGCACCGCGGUAGUCGAUGAAGUUGGUCGAUAGUAGUAGAGAAGUGUAUAUAUAUAUAUAUAUAUAUAUAAAUAAAAAAAAAUAAAAAUAUACAAAUCAAAACAAAAUAAAAAAAAAAAAAUAGUUGGAUAGAUCGGUCUGGUCCGAAGUUGGCCGCAUCUUGAUCGACCAUAGAAGAAGGCAACGUUGUAAAGCCUCUUAUCCUUUAUGUCGAGGAUUCCUUAUUUUAAUUUCUUCCUAGGAGCUCUUGCGUUUUACAGCUCAAUGAUUUUGCGAUCGCGUAUCUCUACGCGAAAGCAUGAUCGCAUCGCUCGACUCGAAGCUUACUAUACUCUUUCAAUCGUACGUAUAUAUGUAUAUAUGAAUAUAAGUAUAUACGUAUAUACAUAUGUACGUUCGAAUCGCUCGAUAUGUAUCGUCACUUUCGUAUUAUUUAUUAACUUUCUCCAUUAAAAUCCAUCCAACAUAAAAUGCGAGCAUGAAAAAAUAUAAGAAAAGAAGGGGGAAAAGAAAAAAAGAAAAAGAAAUAAGUAUAUAUACACAUCUAUUCUCGAUUAUUAUAUUCGAAGAAAGAAACUUUUUUAUUUUUAUUUUUAUUUUCUUCUUUUUUUUUUUUUUCACUUUUUACUUUCACAAAAUAUCCAAAUUUCGAAAGGAACAGAAAGAGAAAGAGAGAGAGAGAGAGAGAGAGAAAGAGAGAGAGAGGCAGACUCGAAAGUAGAUUCGUGCAAUAGAGAAAUCCGAAUUAAACUUGAAUAUACCAUACGUAAGUACAUGAGUAAGUACAUAAGAUUCGCGAUUAUCUCUCGGAAAAGAGGGAGAGAAAGAAUAUAUAUAGAGAGAGAGAGAGAGAGAGAGAGAGAGAGAGAGAAAGAGAGAGAGAGAGAAACAGAGACAGAGAGAGAGAGAGACACUAUAAGUCAUGUUGGACUUGGUAGGCUAACGUUUGAAUAAAAAAAAAGUAAAGAAAAGAAAAGAAAAGAAAAAAGAACAGAAAAAGAAAAGAAGAAUCAUAUACGAAAGAUAUUCCUCUCUCUGUCGGAGGAUUCAUUGCGGUCGUUAAUUGUUUCACCCGGCAUUAGCAUAUAAAUGUAACCACCAUGCCGAUAUGAUCGUUAAACGCAAGAAGACACAUUGGACGUGAACGUCUCGAUUCAACUGUGCGUCCUUCGACUGGACUCCUCCUUGCUUAACCGAGAAACGACUAAGUAUCCUCUGGUUAUAUUAAUUAACUUUUCGACGGUAUAAUGAUUCGCGUGCGCUCGUUCAUUCAACGGAGAAGAAAAAUCGACCGCCAGCCUAUAA